rnacentral:rRNA from 1 species
UACGGAGGGUGCAAGCGUUAUCCGGAUUCACUGGGUUUAAAGGGUGUGUAGGCGGGUAUUUAAGUCAGUGGUGAAAUCUCCAGGCUCAACCUGGAAACUGCCAUUGAUACUAUUUAUCUUGAAUAUCGUUGAGGUUGGCGGAAUAUAUCAUGUAGCGGUGAAAUGCAUAGAUAUGAUAUAGAACACCGAUUGCGAAGGCAGCUAACUAAGCGAUGAUUGACGCUGAGGCACGAAAGCGUGGGGAGUCAAACAGGA